rnacentral:rRNA from 1 species
UACGGAGGAUGCAAGCGUUAUCCGGAUUUAUUGGGUUUAAAGGGUGCGCAGGUUGUUUGAUAAGUCAGUGGUGAGAGUCUGUCGCUUAACGGUAGGAUUGCCAUUGAUACUGUUGGACUUGAAUAUGGAUGAGGUGGGCGGAAUGUGUAGUGUAGCGGUGAAAUGCAUAGAUAUUACACAGAACACCGAUUGCGAAGGCAGCUUACUAAUCCAUCAUUGACGCUGAGGCACGAAAGCGUGGGGAUCAAACA